rnacentral:misc_RNA from 1 species
GGAUGAAGAACGCAGCGAAAUGCGAUACGUAAUGUGAAUUGCAGAAUUCAGUGAAUCAUCGAAUCUUUGAACGCAUAUUGCGCUCUCUGGUAUUCCGGAGAGCAUGCUUGUUUGAGUAUCAGUAAACACCUCAACUCCCUUUUCUUUUUUGAAAUUGGAGCUGGACUUGAGUGAUCCCAACGCUUUCUUCCAAGAAAGUGGCGGGUUGCUUGAAAUGCAGGUGCAGCUGAACUUUUCUCUGAGCUAUAAGCAUAUCUAUUUAGUCUGCCUAAAAAACAGAUUAUUACCUUUGCUGCAGCUAACAUAAAGGAGACUAGUUCUUGUGCUGACUGAUGCAGGAUUCACAGAGACAGCUUCGGCUGACUUUGUAAACUCGAUCUCAAAUCAAGUAAGACUACCCGCUGAACUUAAGCAUAUCAAUAAGCGGAGGA